rnacentral:tRNA from 1 species
GAAGUCUUAGCUUAAUUAAAGUAUCUAAAUUGCAUUUAGUUGAUGUAGAUAAAAAUUUUACAGGCUUU